rnacentral:precursor_RNA from 10 species
AAGUUAAGGAGAAAAUUGCUUUGUUUGUUUAACACCUUAAUCACCAAUGUGAUUGUGAUAACAGCAAACGCAUUGGAUUAAGGUGGACAAUAAACCAAGCAUUAUCAACUCUCCUUUAU